GCAUGAAUGCCUCUGUAAUAAGACUUUGAGCAAGAAUUCUUGAUCCCUGUUUUGUGACAUAAAAUACUUUUUGCAAUUACUAGCCUCUUACUUCAACAAUUUCAGCUCUGGAAGAUUCAUUCCUGGCUUCUUUUCUCUAUUUGCAGCUUUCCUCUGAGUUUUAUAGCCCUCUCUUUCUAAGGAGCUCAAAGGAUCCUUUGCUCUGAAAACUUCUUCUUUGAUGUCACACCACAUCUGUUCGUAGCUUUUCAAAGAGAACUGUUACUGUGGUCAACAUUGUGGCUGUGGUGAAAAAGCAUAUGAUUUGCAUGUCUACUCACAAAGCCAUGUAGUCAAAAAUUAUUCCAUCGCAUGACUCAGCCCAUUGCUCUCAUUACUGUUGAUUAUGCUGGAUUUGGGCCAACCCACUCAGCUGAGGAUUAGCAUGAAGGCUGUUGCAGAAGAAGACCUAUUCUUCUGGAUUGAUAAUAAGAAAAGCUCAAUACUAAAAAGACGACGAUAGUGUCUGAUCUAGAAGAUAAAGAGAAGGAGGAAUGAUUAUAAAAUGCAUGAAAGAAGCAGAGAAUGCUUACAGAAGAAGUAUAAUUUGAAGCUAAACAUGAGAGACCAGUUCAGUCAAGAGUGGCUGUGUAGUCAGGGAAGGAGCCUGGAAGUAGGAGAAGAUAAUUUGGAAAAAGAAAAUACAGAAGGCUUAUCUUAAGCAUGAAAUAUGGGUCUGGAGAAGGUCUGCCUUUCCCCAAGCCACAGAACAAUUCCUGAAAAUAUCAGAAGAGCCAGUGGCAGGCCAAUGAGGCUAACCCAAGAUGGUGCUAGUUUCGUGGUCCCACUAACUGUGCUUCAUCACAUGGUCAGUGAUUCUCUAGGAUGGUUUAAUCUUUCUCUGUGUAGUACAUGUUCUGUUUGCUUAAAGCAGGGAAAGGUACAGGGCUUUACUUUGGAAAGUUUCGUGGCAUGCCAGCCCAGCCACGUGAGCCCCAAAGAGAAGCCCAAACAAGAGCGUUGUGUAACCAGAGGUGAGACAGGCCCAGACAUCAGCAGCGGCCUGUGUAUUUUUGGAAAACACAUUUUCAUCUUCAAUUUACACCAGAUCCAGAGAGGAGCUAAGUCAUUACAAAGUGUUAGCACCGUUCAUCUCAACCCGGGACUGCUAGCGUUGUUAAAUAGAUUCUAUUCCGCUGCCAUCUCUAGGGGGUGGGGUAUCCCAAGGGUGCUGUAAGAAUUUGGUUCUCUAGAAUUUGACAUUUCCGAGAAAUUGAAAAUGUAAAUGAGGACAAAAAUGUAUAAUAGAUAAUGUGAAAUAGGAAGAAAAGGCCCAAAGAGGGAAGGGGAAGUGUGUG